UGCAAAGGUAUAUUAUAAGGAAUAUCAAAUGGAAACGUAAAAAAAAAAUGGUGACGCCAUUUUGAAUGAAAAAUUGUUAAUUGUUGAUGAAAAUGUUUGAAGAUCUUACAUUUGUAUCAUCUGCUAGUCCAUUGCCAACUGCUCCAUAAUCAACGUUGAAGACUAGCGUCGAAGCUGUUACGACUGGAUAACAAACAAGAUAGUAAAAAAAACAAAAGUAGAAAUGUAAUAACCAGAAGGAGGCCCAAGCGUUACGGCCCAAAAAUAUAAAAAGAUAAAAAAAAAUCGAAAUAAAAUGGAGAUAGGCC
rnacentral:lncRNA from 1 species